GGUUGAUGGGGUCAUUUGAGUUUAUGUUAAGGGCCCAUAGCUCAGGCGGUUAGAGUGCACCCCUGAUAAGGGUGAGGUCGGUAGUUCGAAUCUACCUGGGCCCACCAUUCAAUCAGGCAAGGGGCCGUAGCUCAGCUGGGAGAGCGCCUGCUUUGCAAGCAGGAUGUCAGCGGUUCGAUCCCGCUCGGCUCCACCAAUUGCGAAUUUAUAGUUUUUUUGUUCUAGGGAUUUUUUUUUAGAGCAAUAGUUUUUUGAAAAUUGAAUAGAAGGUAGAUUUUUUUGUAUUUUUUAUAUUGGCAUUGUAUGCGAUAUAGGAGGUACCGACGUUGUAUAACCGCACGUUGAAGAUUUAUCUCAGGAAAUUGGUCUAUUGAAAGAGCAUAAUUUAUUUAUGUUUUUUUAAUUAAGAAACGUUUGUAAUGAAUUUUAUGACGUAUUGACAAUGAGAGUGAUCAAGCGCGAUAAGGGCAUUUGGUGGAUGCCUUGGCAUGCACAGGCGAUGAAGGACGUAAUACGCUGCGAUAAGCUACGGGGAGCUGCAAAUGAGCAUUGAUCCGUAGAUUUCCGAAUGGGGCAACCCACCUUAGAUGUCUAGGAAAGUAUACUAUUAAGGUUUAAUUUUCUAGGUAUUUGAAGGUAUCUUUACCUGAAUAAAAUAGGGUAAAAGAAGCGAACGCAGGGAACUGAAACAUCUAAGUACCUGUAGGAAAGGACAUCAAUUGAGACUCCGUUAGUAGUGGCGAGCGAACGCGGAUCAGGCCAGUGGUAGGGAAGAUUUAAGUAGAAUUAUCUGGGAAGGUAAGCCAUAGAAGGUGAUAGCCCCGUACACGUAAUAAUUUUUUCUAUCCUUGAGUAGGGCGGGACACGUGAAAUCCUGUUUGAAGAUGGGGCGACCACGCUCCAAGCCUAAGUACUCGUGCAUGACCGAUAGUGAACCAGUACCGUG
rnacentral:sRNA from 1 species